AAAGGGGCCAGGCCUGCAGAUUGAAAGCAGCAGAGCCUCCAUAACUCAGGGCAGCAACAGGAUAUCUGAAAGGAGUCCAGGUGGAGCAUUUCGUCUAUCAUUUCGAGGUCUGCGACUGCUAAAACGGUCGGAGUAUCGUCCUCUACCUCUUCCACCUCGAGAUCGAGCCCGAGCAUGUUCAAUCGUCACCCUUUCACUGCAAAGUUCCUUCCCAUCAAGUUCAUAAACAGCAUCAUCUGCAUCCCUUGGGUCCUCAAAUUCCACAAAACCAAAACCUGUUUUCAAGUCAAUAUCUCGGAUCCGUCCGUAACCCUUGAAGAAUCUUUCCACAUCUUUCACCCUCGCUGCUGGAUUUAGUCUCCCAAUGAACACUCGACAGCCACUCAUGAUGCCCGGCUAGUGUUUCCUACCGGACGGGGUCUUUGGCGGCUGAGACCCCGGAGAGGUCCGUAGUCUGCGACGGAGCUGUCUGCCUCCCUACACAAACACACACACAACACACAUACACACGAACCCAACUCGUCUCAGUCUGCUUUCUUAUACAACCCAAGACCACCUCCCUGGGUGUGGCUCCACCCAUUGGGGGCUGGACCCCUUUCACAUCAAUCACUAGGAAAAUGUCCUACAGACUUACUUGUCUACGGGCGGGCCCGUGUGAUGGAGACCACUCCUCAGUUGAGGUCCCCUCCUCUCAUAUGACUCUGUGUGAAGUUUACAAAGCUAACCUACAAACCAAGUGAAGGCGGAAGAAGAUAACUUGAGCCCACGGAAUUGUCCUCUGACCUUCAAACACAUACCCGAAGACACAUCACAGACAUGAGGAUGAGGAUGAUGGUGAUGGUGAUGGUGAUGGUGGUGGUGAUGGUGGUGGUGGUGAUGCUGAUGCUAAUGAUAAUGAAUACACUUAGAAAGAGGAGGUCACUAGAACCAGGCCUUUAUAGGUUAGAAUGCAACCUUGGCUCUGACCUACUGUGCUCCUUGGUCAGCAACACUGUGAACAGGGAUGUGAACGCAGGUUCCUGCCACCACAGCCCAGCCAUUCCUCCAUGCCUUUGUCACUAUGAUGAACCUGUAACCUUCUAACUCAAUGAACCAAAAUAAAUCUCUCCUUUC
rnacentral:lncRNA from 1 species